UACAUACUUCCUCCGUUCGGAAUUACUUGUCUCGAAAAUGGAUGUAUCUAGAACUAAAAUACAUCUAGAUAUAUCCAUUUCUACAACAAAUAAUUCCGAACAGAGGAAGUACACA
rnacentral:pre_miRNA from 1 species